GGUUAUGGGGUGUCCCUGGAGCGCUGAACGGGGGCAGCAGGGCGGGAGCUGGUGGUGUCACAGGUGCCCAUGGGGUGGCAAGGGGGCACCUGUGGGGCUGCAGCUGCCCCAGUACACGCAGGGCCGGGGGGUUCCCAUCCCCAAGGCACCCCCAGAAUCACCCGAGGAGAUACCGGGAUGGUUCCAGAGGAGAUACCGGGAUUGUUCCAGAGGAGAUACCGGGAUUGUUCCAGAGGAGAUACCGGGAUUGUUCCAAAGGAGAUACCGGGAUUGUGCCGGCACCGCUUCCCAAGGACGCACCAGCCCAGGAGCCCAAACAGCUCCAGCUGCCUCAAGGACUUGGCCCCGGAGCCGCUUCCCCAGCUGGAAUUAUCUGGACACGGUGGGAACUCGAGGCCACGGCUUUGGGGACAACCUCCCCCCAUCCCACCACCAUCCCUGACCCCUCCCUGUCCCCCCCUGCCCCAAAAUCCUGGUCUGCCCCCGCCUGACCCCAAGGAUGCUCGGGAGAAGCUGAGUUUUCCAAUGUUUUAUUUGUGUUUUGAGAUUACAGAGUCUUUAUUGCUGAUCUAAUACAAUCACUCAGACAUUAA